rnacentral:lncRNA from 1 species
CACGUUGGUAUUGAUCCACCUUAUCAGCGAGCAGCCCGGCUUCCAUAUUGCCGUCCCUUCCCGAACCGCCCGGGCCCGCCGAGCGGGGCGGCACAGGGAGCACGACGCGUUCCCGGCUCCAUUUUCGCGAGCCCUCGGCGCUGCCCUGACGCUCGUCUCCCCUCCCCACGCCGCCCCGGUCCGCAGAGGGCCCAUCCCCGGCCGCCUUUCCCUUCUUCCCCCGCCGCCACUUACUUGAGGCCCAGGCCGUGGAGGUGCUGCCCGAUCAGCCGGAUCACGUCCUCGUCGGACUGCGAGAGCCGCUUCUUCUUCUUCAGGGCGCUGCCGCCGCCGCCCCCCAGCUCCGCGGCGGCCGUGCCGGGCCCCCCAGCGGCGGGCACCCCGUUGUUGACGCUGAGGCCGCCGGGGCUGCCGCCGCCGCUGUUGGCCGAAGGCAGCAGCCCGUUGGCGUGGGCCAGCUGCUCGCCGGCGGCCGUGCCCGCCGAGGCCUCGCCGUUCUGGGCGCCCAGACAGCCCAGCUCCGGGCCCUGCGGCGGCUGUUGCUGCUGCUGCUGGCCCCCUCCUGCCCCGUUGGCCUGCAUGGCGCUGCCGCCGCUGCUCGCGCUGCUGCUGCUGCCUCGGAGCGGGGCGGCGGCGGGGACGAGCCCGGCGGGGAGCGAGGGGGACUGGGACGAGGUGAGGCCUGCUCUGCCCGCGGAAGCCCCGGGCUCUCCUGCUCCCUCCGCCGCCGCCGCCGGGGAGGCCCGGGCUUUCUUCCGCGGGGGCGGGGAGGCUCCGCCGGUGUCCGAGUCGGAGGAGGAGGAAGCGGAGGCCAGAGUUUCCUCGCCGAGAGCGGCCGUGGUGGGAAGCCGGGGGGGCGAGGAGGGGGAGGCGGGGGGCGGCGGGGGUGAGGGGAGGCGGAGCGGGGCCCUGCGCCCCCGGGGGUCCCGGAGGCAGCGCCGCCGCCCGCUCGGGGCUCCCUCUGGCGAUGGCGGCCGCCGCUGCCUCGAGCCCCCGCCCGGCAGCCCCGGGCGCCCGGCCUGCUCCGCUCGCUGCCCGCUGGGUUUGUCUUCUCUCAGCCCAGCUGCAGCCUAAUGGAGUCCGGGCCGGGACGUCACAGGAAAUUCCUAUACUGCCCCCUACACACACUUCCGCCGCCCAGGGCUGGGGGUGGGGUACGGGCCCUGUGGGGGACGGGGGUGCCGGUGGGGCAGACCUCGCCGCCGCCCUCUGGGCCUCUCGGGCGGCCGUUGAAGGGGUGUGGGUCGGGGUCCCUCAGCGCCUCUGUGAGGGCUGAAGGUGCCUGGGGGCACGUCGGGGGCUGUGUGUGUGCGGUAUGACUUAUGCCCGCAGCUGUCAGCCCUGCAGUGCGUGCCCAGAGCUGAGAGGUGCGAAGGUGUGGGUGAUGGGUGUGAGUGAGGCCUUGAUCCCGUCACGGUGGGCCAUCCUUAUCACACAGCGGGAUGGAGAAGGGCUGCUGGAAUUUCCUGAAGCAAUCUGGGGUGGGUUUUUUUUUGUUUGUUUGUUUGGUAUUAUUAGAUCCCAUCUGGAGUAUUGUGUCCAGGUCUGGGACCCCCAACUCAGGAAAGAUGUGGAGCUGUUGUAGAGGGCCCAGAGGUGGGCCACAAAGGUGAUCAGAGGGCUGGAGCACCUCUCCUACAGACAGGCUGAGGGAGUUGGGCUUGGGCAGUUUGGAAGAGAGAAAGCUGCAGGGAGACCUCAUUACAGCCUUCCAGUAUUUAAAGAGAGGUUAUAAACAGGAAGGAAAUCAGCUUUUUACGUGAGUGGAUGUGAUAGGACAAUGGGGAAUGGUUUUAAACUAAAGGAGAGAAGAUUUAGAUUAGAUGUCAGGGAGAAGUUUUCACAGAGAGUGAAGAUAAGUUAUGGAUGCCCCAUCCCUGGAGGUGCUCAGGUCCAGUUUGGAUGGGAACCUGGGCAGCCUGAGCUGGUGGGGGGCAGCCCUGCCCACAGCUGGGGGGUUGGAAGUAAAUGAUCUUUGAGGUCCCUUCCAACACAAGCAGUUCUAUGAUUCUGUGAUUAUUAUUUUGGUUAUUCGUUCUGUUUUUAAAAAAAAAGGAGAAAUAUUCAGUGAAGUAACAUCCUGUUGUUGCCCAGCCUGGUCACUGGUAGGGUUCAAGUCUAGUCACAAUAUCCGUGAGCUCUAAAGAGGAGGAAAAUGGCAUUUCUGCAUACCUAUAAGUGGUGCAGAAAUGUUGAGGCAUGGGCCCCAUCCAUCAGGAUAAUCUGUUAGAGGAGAAUGGAUGCUUUGGGGUUGUCUCCUUCCAUCCCCAUCCUGUGCAAUGCAAACUGGAAUCUACAGCCAAGCAUCUGGUAAAAAACCAUGAGAUAAAUAAAAGAUGGGUGUUUGAAAGUAGUCUCUUGAAAUAUGUUGUACAUUAUCUGGUUUUAGAGUCUGGAAUUUUCAACUUUGAUACUUUCAAACUUUUCUCCAAAACCCAAAGCAAAAUAACUCUUUCUCGUGAAUAAAAGCUGAAGUGAACAUCUAAUCAUCAUCUUUCAGAAGCCACAGUUUUAAGAACACUGAAUAUUUCCAACUAAUGUUAAAAUGGUGAGGCAACAGUGCUUUCUCUGGAGUGCAAGUCUGAAGAAGUCUGACUGGGGAAACCAGCCCAAGACCAGUGUAGAAGUCUGCAAAGAGAUAAAACCCUCAAAAAAAAAAAAAAAAAAAAAACCAGAUAAGGUGAGAGUGGCAAGGCACUGACACAGGCUGCCCAGGCAAGUUGUGGAUGUCCCAUCCCUGGAGGCAUUCAAGGUCAGGUUGGGUGGGGCCCUAGGCAGCUUGAGCUGGUGGGGGCAGUCCUGCCCAUGUCUGGGGUUUGGAACUGAGUGGGCUUUAAGGUCUCUUCCAACCCCAACCAUUCUAUGAUUCUGUGAGAAAAGACUGCAUGGUGGCAGUUGAAGUAGAUACUAUAGCUAGGCCCUGUUUAGAGAUCUCAAGAGCUGUUUAAUUGGUAACAGCUGGAGCAGUCUUGCAUCAAAGGGAGAGGCUGGAAAGAGCUUUGUCACACAGAGUCCAGCCCAGGUGUGGCUGUAGGAUUAAAUUCAAUACUGAGGAGUGUUCUGGCUUUGUAUCCCAUAGAUCACCAGCCAUUUCUGGAGAACACAUUGCUUGUGUUUUAACUACUUCAGCACUGCCAUACCUCCUCUCGUCUCCAUUCCUCUCUCUCUUCAUCAUGCUUGAGGUGUUACUCCUUUAUCACUCUCAUUCUCUUUGAAUCUGUAAUUCAAAGAUUUGGGCAAACAUUACAGGAACAGCACAGAGCCCAUGGAGACACUUUACAAAGCAAUAUGAGUGUUUUCAAGAGGGUAAGGCUGCCCAUCAUUCCUUCCUGUUCACUGUCCUGGUGGUAGAACCCCCUUCCCACCAGGUCAGUUUGUGCCACCAUUCCUCCAGCUGCUUUAAUCUGCCAUGCUGCUCUUGCACUGCCUACAAAGCCUAGCCUUUCCUCAUCAGUCCUUGCUUUGAUCACCUGCGUUUAAGCCUGAUGCUCCCACACACCGACUCCUGUACUAUGUCAAUCACACUGGAGGAGUUGGAGGGAGGAAGGAAACUGAUGAGGCUGUGAAGAAUACAUCUGUGAUGAUAGAAGUGAAGAAUCUCUAUACUGUAGCUGGCUGGUGAUAUAUGGAUAAGCAGCUCUGUAUGCCUAUUUGUACUAGGAAAAGGUCUCAUGGAGUAGCAACAUGCCUCACUCAUUUCAAUCAAGUAUUCUCAGGGUGUAAGAGCAAUAUUUGAAGUUGAAUGUAAAAUAGCACUUUUAAGAGUUAUGUGUUGCUGCACUGGUCACAGUGAAAGUUCUUAACAGCCCCUACCCUGCCACAUUUCCUUCCCUGGGGGAGGAAAUAUCCCAGCAGAAACACAAAGAGCUGGAAGAAGAAGCUUGGUGUUGCUGGAAUGACACGGGCCCUUGGCUCCUCUGCCAGGGACGCAACAUUUGUAAGUUUCUUGGGGUUCCAGAUGACAUAAAAGUAGAAGGAGAAUGAUUCAGAGAUCCUGGUGUGGAGAACAUGCUUCAUUCCUCGCGUACACAUGGAAUGUUCCUAGAGGGAACAGUUCCUACUCUUCAUCACCUAUGGCUUUCGUGGUCACCAGGAGAGGAUCCUGAGAAGCAGAUCUGUGGCCAGUGGACCUUACUUCCUGUGUUACAACAAGGAAUAGGAGACCUGGGAAAGGGGCAGUGAUACUUUUCUUAGGAAAUCUUUCAUCAGCUGAACCUUGAUUUGAAACCUUCUGUUCUUCAUCCCUGUGAGACAGUUGAUUUACUGGAAAUCCGAACAAGCCUGCAGUUUUUUGAGUGAUUAGACAGAUCAGUGGUUAAAUGUAACAUCGCAUUUGUGAUAGAGGACUUCUCCAUAAUAAGAGGUACCCAUCCAUCAUGCCCAGUCCACUUCAGAUUUUCCCAAAAGUAUGGGAUCAGUGCAAAAGCUCAGCACUAAAAAUAGACAAAUUUAUAAACAACCAGAAGAGGGAUUAUAAAGAAAAUUGUUGCCAGCCUUAAAGGCAACUGUUACAUUAUCAACCAUGCUACUGAAGUACAGUAUGUUUUUCAUUAGAGGAUGGGGCAGGAAGUCCAGAUCUGAAUAAUAGGAAGGAACUCUUUCAUUAAGGGGCAGGGUUUUUUGAUGGUAAUCAUGCAAAGCUGCUUAGGCAGAGCUGAAAUACUACAGAAUAUUAGAGAAGACCGUGGAGAGAUGGAUUAGUAGUCAAAGCUGCAUGAUGAAGGUAAUGAACUGUUGAUUCCUCCUAUCAGAUGUAUGUGUGUAUAUUUAGAAUCAUACCAUGAUUUGGGUUGGAAGGGACCUUAAAGAUCAUCUAGAGAUCAUCACCACUGCUGCCAGCUCCCCCCUGCUUUAUGCUUCCUUUUCUUCUGCACUGAAUUUGAGGUUACUGGAAGCAAACCCACUAAAAGCAAAGGAAAAAAUGAAGAAAUAAUUGUUUGGAACAAUGGUGUUUUCCAUGGCACCAACUAAAGAAAUGCUUGAACAGCACCUAUAUGCUUGCAAUUUCCAAAAGAAGAGCUACAGAUGAAAAACAGCCACUUGUCCUAAAUAACAUUCCUAGAAAGCCUUCGGUAAAUUGAGGAUUUGUAACUAAACCACACUGAGAUGUGAUUCCACCACAUUAUGCAGAGGGUAGUCAGUAUUUUAGUGAAGGAGUGAAAUCUGGAAAGCCAAAGCUGGUCUGGAUUAGAAUCGGAAGUAAAAGUGAGGUGCAACAAGAAGACCUUCUACAGAAAUACCGGCAGCAAAAGGAAGGUGAAGAAAUAUAUGUGCCUGCUGCAGAACUGAGUAGCUUACGUUGUGGUGUAGGACAAGGAAAAGGCUGAGAUACUCAAUACCUCUUUUGUUUUGGCCUUUACUGGGAGAAAACUCUUCUGCAUCUCACAAGCUUCUGUGGCUGGUAGUGGAGCUUGGGCAGAAAGGGAGGCUAGGACACACUUGAAGACCGCUGCAUCACACACACUUGAGCACUGAGGGAGAUGGCCUCUACUACUGUGUGCUCACUCCUUAUGAUAUUUGAAAGGCUGUGGUAUUUCGGAGAACACCACCGAUGACUUAAAACAGGCAAAGGUUAUGUCUUCAAAUUCAGUUAUAUCUGGCCCAACCUCACUGACUUCUGGUUUAACAAACGGGGAGAGAACAGAGGCUGUCUUUUAAGUCUGAUUUUGUUAAGGUUUUUGAUAGGAUCUCCCGCAGUAAACUUAUAACUGGGGAGAUAUGGAUAUAUAGGCUUGAAGGGUAUCUUCUCAAUAGUUUGAAGUCUGAAUGUUGCCUCUUAGGAAGAAUUAGGGAUCAAUACUGAAGUAAGUCCUGUUUCACAAGUUCGUCAUUGACCGUUAGGAUGGGGCGGAAUGCACCCUCAGUAAGUAUGUGACAGAUCUCAACAUCAGACCACGGAGAUCAGUUGAUGUACUGCGGACUGCAGCUGCCAUUCAGAGUGGCCUUGACAAGCUGGAAGAAUGGGCCAGUAAGAGCCUCAUGAAUAUCAAGAGAGACAUUCUGAAGCACAUGAUGUACAAGGAGAAGUUGAGGAAGUGAGCUUGACUGCAGCAGGACCUAAUUACAGUGUCCAGCUUCCCAGGGGAAUUAUAGGAAGGAUAGAAUCAGGCUUCUCUCCGAGAUGCACACCAAGAGACAAAAAUCAGAAAUUGCACCCAGAGAAAUUCCAACUGUGUAUAAGAAAGAACAUUUUCAGUGUGAGACUGGUCAAGUACUGGUAUAGGUUCCUGGAAGGGCUGUGGAAUUUCCAGCCCUGGACAUACUCAAAACUGGACCGGACAAGUCCCUGAACAACCUUGUCUAGCUUUGAAAAUUGCUAGAGGUUGAAUGAGUGACCUGCAGAGGAACUGCCUCAACUUUAGUUUGAUUCUACUGAUAAGAUUCUAAAUGUGCUUCCAGAGAGAAACCUAUGGUGGGGGAGCAGCAUCAGUGCCUCAAGGAUUGUAUCUCGGGGUUAGUGAUACUGUAUCCUAAGGCUUCAGUGUUGGCAAAGAUGAGGGCAUUAGUGCUACUGUUGUAAUCUAUUAUAUAUAAAGUAAUCACACUGUCUCCUGUCCACCAAUCCAUGUGCGUUAUACUGAUGAUGACCUCUGCAUCCCCCUGAGCAUUCACACCAUGACAUGGUAACAAAAUAUAUAUAUAUAUGUAUAUAUAUACAUAUCAGAAAGUGCUGAAGAUUCCAUGUAGUGUGGAAUAUCCUGUUUAAGACAGGAUCCAUUAUAUGGUCAAUACAAGUUAUCAUAUAAAGAACAUAAAUGUCACAGAUUUUCUUAUAUUUCUGUUAUCAUAGUUGUCUUUCUAGUUGCCCAGGAUGCCCUUUAUAGGGACAGGUCAUAUUUAGCUGUAUGAGCAGAUGAAACAUGCACAUCAAUGCAAGAGGUCUGAAACUACACUGGUAUUUACUAUGCAACUUCUCUGAGCAUGUACAGAAAACAAUAUUGCAUAUGCUGUGAAUCUGACACGUCAGACUUGCUUUGCAUGCAUGAUUGAUCUGUCUGGGACUACCCUAGAUAUCAGCCUGCAAAGUCUGGCUGUGUGUACUGUGGUAUAUCAGCCAUUUUGAGAUACACCAGAAAGUUAUUUGUAGCCUGGAUUUGGAAAGACACUAGGCUACCAUGUCAAUGCCUCAAAGAUGUUUCCACACUUGCCAAGCAGCAUGCUUGGACUUUUUUUUUCUUGACACCUCUAUAUGCAUAAAUAUUAAUUCCAACGCUGACUGAAUCCCAUUCUGACUACCACUACAAGGGGAGCUGGCAUGUAUUCCAUGGAAAAGCCUAGCAGUGAUUUUGUUCUGUGGAGCAUUCUAGGCCUGUUGCUUAGAGAGUUUCCUGCAGUCUGUGUAGUGCUUAACAUUAGUGUGUAGAUUUCAUGUCCAGAACUCAGAUGAGUUAUUAGUGUUUUUCUGCAAGAUUAGAUUUAUCAUUCUAUUGUUGCAGUUAUUUUACUUUACCUACUUGUGGGCCUCUCCCCUGCCUUUAACUUUGUGCCGGCUCUCAAGACAAUUGUUAUUUCAGGCUUGUUAUUUGUAUCUGCCAACUCCCACACGACUCCUAGAGCCUAACCCUGAGUGGGGUAAUGCCGCACUUGCUAUUGCCUUACUGCUGAAUUAUGCCCUGCCUCUCCCAGAAUGACAUGUAUGGUAGUCCUUUCUCUUUU